CUCGCAAAUAUUUAUGACGAAACAGUUUCUGGUGGUGAGAAGAAGCGCAUAGGUCACUGUCUUCGAUCAAGUCGUAUUAGGGUUAGAGGUUAGAGACGACAGCAACCGGAAGGACAUCGCAGGAGCCCAAUGAUUUAAUGAACCGGACACAUGUCAGCGUUACAGGAGUUGAGUUUCCAGCCUGGCGUCUACGUGGAUAGGCUCAGGAGAGAGCAAACUCUAUUUUAUAUACAUAGAUGAGAGAUUCAGUGUUGACCACAGGAUGAAUAAUGGUUGAGAGAUUGAAGACGCUGAGAAUCUCGUCUUGUAGAAAGAUGGAUCCUUGUCCUGGACCCAAGAAGUUGCUCCGGCUCUCAAGAGUUUACAACUCACAAGGCAGCACCUACUCUGUCUUACCAAUUAGCGACUGUGUCUUGGGUAAAGAGGAAUGGUGAUUAGAGCCAACAAGCAUAUGGAUUUUCUGACACUUGUAACUAAGUGGUGUUGAAGAUGAGGAAGUAAGCAACAUAAUAAAAGAUGACAAUGUAAUUGGUAAAGGAUGCUUGUGAGAACCGUGAGAUACACUCAUGGAAGCUUCUUACUCUGGUUUGAAUAUAUUAGUCUCAUAAGAGGAGGCAUUGACAAUCAAAGCAGCAUGGAAAUCGUGGUACUUUGAUUAGGCAUUGUUAACUUCACAAUAUGGCUCGUGCUAGCCAGUAAUUAUAUUAUCUUCUUUAAGUAAAGUUUUUGGUUUUGUGCUGGCGUAGGUUUGGUCUUUUUGGUUUUAUAUAUGUUUUGUUUUUUGCUGUUGACCUGUGUUUGGUCUUUUGGUUAUAUAUAUAAUGAUUAUGUUAUUUAGUUAUGUUAAUGUAAAAAUUUAUUGUUAAAUGUUUUUGGUUCAAGACAAGUCAUGUGCAUUGUGGGCAAUGGCAGUUUUUGUGUGUU